rnacentral:misc_RNA from 1 species
GAUGAAGAACGUAGCGAAAUGCGAUAAGUAAUGUGAAUUGCAGAAUUCAGUGAAUCAUCGAAUCUUUGAACGCACCUUGAGCUCCUUGGUAUUCCGAGGAGCAUGCCUGUUUGAGUGUCAUUAAAUUCUCAACUACACUGACUUUGAAUUGGUGUGGCUUGGAUUUGGGGGGAAAAUUGUUGUGGGCUUUUUGUAUAGUCUGCUCCCCUGAAAUUGAUUAGCGGUACCUUUGUGGAACUGUCUACAGGUGUGAUAAUUAUCUACAUCUUAGACAUCUGCUGGAAUGCUGCUUUCUAAACCUUACUUGUAUUGACAAUCUUGACCUCAAAUCAGGUAGGACUACCCGCUGAACUUAAGCAUAUCAAUAAGCGGAGGA